AUACACUGGACACAGACAGAACUAGAAUCACUCCAUAGGGAAACAUGAACAUUUACAAAAUACCAGUACCAUCACCCGAAAUCUGCCAUGGAAAGAAUUACUCUCCCAUGCAAGGAAGGAGGACAUAGCUUUAUUGACAUUCCAUAUUUACACAACAAACAGAUCUAUAGUUUGAGAGAGUUCUUCCAUAAAAAACAACAUACAUCACAACUACAUAAAGCUAUAGUUUUAGCAGAUAGAAACAUCACACCAUUAAAUCUACAGAACAACACUCCAAACCCAAUAGGAAACACUGCACACAUACAAGAAAAGAAAAUAUCCUGAAGUAGAAAGGAACUCCAUGACAGAUACCCACAUGACUUUCAGAAACCUUUAUAGACACUAAAGCAUCAAACAGCUGGUUUAGUCAGGAGGGACCUAUUUACAGAAACAGAAGGGUUCGUAAUAGCGAUACCAGGUAAUAAACAUGAAAAACUACAGAAAAUACAUACUGAAGGACAGCAC
rnacentral:lncRNA from 1 species